UACGGGGGGGGCAAGCGUUGUUCGGAUUCACUGGGCGUAAAGGGUGCGCAGGUGGUCGGGUAAGUCUGACGUGAAAUCCCGCAGCUUAACUGCGGAAUGGCAUUGGAUACUAUUCGGCUAGAGGGUUGGAGGGGGGACUGGAAUUCUCGGUGUAGCAGUGAAAUGCGUAGAUAUCGAGAGGAACACCAGUGGCGAAGGCGAGUCCCUGGACAACUCCUGACGCUGAGGCACGAAAGCUAGGGGAGCAAACAGG
rnacentral:rRNA from 1 species